GCCAGUGUGGUGUAGUGGUUUGAGUGUUGGACUACAGCUCUGGAGACCAGGAUUCAAAACCCUGAUCAGCCA